GAUGAACGCUGGCGGCGUGCCUAAUACAUGCAAGUCGAGCGAAUGGAUUAAGAGCUUGCUCUUAUGAAGUUAGCGGCGGACGGGUGAGUAACACGUGGGUAACCUGCCCAUAAGACUGGGAUAACUCCGGGAAACAGGGACUAAUACCGGAUAAUAUUUUGAACUGCAUGGUUCAAAAUUGAAAGGCGGCUUCGGCUGUCACUUAUGGAUGGACCCGCGUCGCAUUAGCCAGUUGGUGAGGUAACGGCUCACCAAGGCAACGGUGCGUAGCCGACCUGGGAGGGUGAUCGGCCACACUGGGACUGAGACACGGCCCAGACUCCUACGGGAGGCAGCAGUAGGGAAUCUUCCGCAAUGGACGAAAGUCUGACGGAGCAACGCCGCGUGAGUGAUGAAGGCUUUCGGGUCGUAAAACUCUGUUGUUAGGGAAGAACAAGUGCUAGUUGAAUAAGCUGGCACCUUGACGGUACCUAACCAGAAAGCCACGGCUAACUACGUGCCAGCAGCCGCCGUAA
rnacentral:rRNA from 1 species